rnacentral:rRNA from 1 species
GAUGAACGCUGGCGGCGUGCCUAAUACAUGCAAGUCGAGCGAACAGACGAGGAGCUUGCUCCUCUGACGUUAGCGGCGGACGGGUGAGUAACACGUGGAUAACCUACCUAUAAGACUGGGAUAACUUCGGGAAACCGGAGCUAAUACCGGAUAAUAUAUUGAACCGCAUGGUUCAAUAGUGAAAGACGGUUUUGCUGUCACUUAUAGAUGGAUCCGCGCCGCAUUAGCUAGUUGGUAAGGUAACGGCUUACCAAGGCAACGAUGCGUAGCCGACCUGAGAGGGGGAUCGGCCACACUGGAACUGAGACACGGACCAGACUCCUACGGGAGGCAGCAGUAGGGAAUCUUCCGCAAUGGGCGAAAGCCUGACGGAGCAACGCCGCGUGAGUGAUGAAGGUCUUCGGAUCGUAAAACUCUGUUAUUAGGGAAGAACAAAUGUGUAAGUAACUAUGCACGUCUUGACGGUACCUAAUCAGAAAGCCACGGCUAACUACGUG